UGAAAGGACACAUUUAUAACAUUAUGAACUAUAAAUAUCGACUCUCUUCAAAAUUUUAGUAGUGUACAUCCACAAUUGAAAGUGAAAUCAUGAAAUUACUAUUACUAAUACUAAUUGGGCUAGCGGUGGUUGCCUCAAAGGUCUCCGAUGAAAUAAUCGAAAAGUGGGAAAAUAAGAUAUCUGGAUUCAAGGAUAAAUGCCUAACCGCACACGGAGCAGAUAAGGAGAUUAUUCACAACAUUA